UUCGUAGGGGGCAAGCGUUGUCCGGAAUCAUUGGGCGUAAAGCGCUUGUAGGCGGCCUUGUAAGUCCGUUGUGAAAGUCCGGGGCUCAACCCCGGGAGGCGGAUGGAUACUGCAAGGCUCGAGUCCGGAAGAGGCAAGUGGAAUUCCCGGUGUAGCGGUGAAAUGCGCAGAUAUCGGGAGGAACACCAAUGGCGAAGGCAGCUUGCUGGGACGGUACUGACGCUGAGACGCGAAAGCGUGGGGAGCAAACAGG
rnacentral:rRNA from 1 species